AUUGAACGCUGACGGCAGGCCUAACCCAUGCAAGUCGAGCGGAUGAAGGGAGCUUGCUCCUGGAUUCAGCGGCGGACGGGUGAGUAAUGCCUAGGAAUCUGCCUGGUAGUGGGGGAUAACGUCCGGAAACGGGCGCUAAUACCGCAUACGUCCUGAGGGAGAAAGUGGGGGAUCUUCGGACCUCACGCUAUCAGAUGAGCCUAGGUCGGAUUAGCUAGUUGGUGGGGUAAAGGCCUACCAAGGCGACGAUCCGUAACUGGUCUGAGAGGAUGAUCAGUCACACUGGAACUGAGACACGGUCCAGACUCCUACGGGAGGCAGCAGUGGGGAAUAUUGGACAAUGGGCGAAAGCCUGAUCCAGCCAUGCCGCGUGUGUGAAGAAGGUCUUCGGAUUGUAAAGCACUUUAAGUUGGGAGGAAGGGCAGUAAGUUAAUACCUUGCUGUUUUGACGUUACCAACAGAAUAAGCACCGGCUAACUUCGUG
rnacentral:rRNA from 1 species